rnacentral:rRNA from 1 species
UAAGACGUAGGGCGCGAGCGUUGUCCGGAUUUAUUGGGCGUAAAGAGCUCGUAGGCGGCUUGUCGCGUCGACUGUGAAAACCCGCGGCUCAACCGCGGGCCUGCAGUCGAUACGGGCAGGCUAGAGUUCGGUAGGGGAGACUGGAAUUCCUGGUGUAGCGGUGAAAUGCGCAGAUAUCAGGAGGAACACCGAUGGCGAAGGCAGGUCUCUGGGCCGAUACUGACGCUGAGGAGCGAAAGCGUGGGGAGCGAACAGGAUUAGAUACCCUGGUAGUCCACGCUGUAAACGUUGGGCGCUAGGUGUGGGGGACCUCUCCGGUUCUCUGUGCCGCAGCUAACGCAUUAAGCGCCCCGCCUGGGGAGUACGGCCGCAAGGCUA